AUGGAGAAUGGUGGACGGGCAUUAGUGUACAGAUUCAGGAGUCAUUUGAGAAGCAGAAGCAGUGGAGCUUUCACUUAUUUAAUGGAUAGUGGAAGGGGAGGGGUAAGUCACAGUGUGAAGACCAAGGAUGAAAACUGGGACAAUUCCCAUAUUUGUGAUUUGGGCUCCUGGAUGGAUGAUGAUAUCCUAAAUGGAGCUAACGUGUAUGAGAGGAUAAAUAAGCUGUUGGAAAGUAGAAAGAGACAUAAAAAGGAAUCCAGUUUUAGACAGAAGAGGGAAGGUCAAAACUGGAGAAAUGUCUGUAUAUAUUUUUGUACGGGUAUAUAUGUAAUAUUGCAGGUAUGCAUAUAUAGCAAGGGUUCAAUGUGUCAACUCUGCUGCACAGAGUCAUAAAGAAGCUUUACUUUCUCAUUAACUUAUUGCUGUCAAAUUAACUUAUUGCUUGAAUAUAUCAUUUGAAACUCUAAUAAUUCAUUCCAUAUUUCAAGAUGUACCACAGACAGAGAAAAAUGCUGUAGCUUAAAACUGAUUCCAGACUUGUGAAAACAUCAUGCGUCUCUACUACCAAAGCAAAAGGGGAAACCGUGCCAAUUACAUGCCUGAACCUGUUUCGGUUUCAAUUACCUGGAUUAUUGAGGCAGAAACAACCGUUGUGCCUAAUUUACCCUUAUAAUUGCCUUAGUUCUCUGCUUUGCCUUGCUUGUGGGCAUAUUUCCAUGUUAUACUAUUAUUAGAAAGGCAAAUUCACUUCCUUUUUUGGUGGUUCCAGAAAAAACACUUAAAAUACUCUUUACAAUUCAGAGAAUUAACAUUUUAUAAGCCUUUGUAUUUAAAGAGUAAUAUACUAAGCAGAGGGAAGACAGUAAACCAGUAAUCACUUUGUAGUCAUCUUGCCAUGACUCUUACUCCUUUUUACAUAAAACCUCAGUGAAUCAGCCUUAUCAGGAGUGACCUUUGAGCACCUCCUGAUUUAAGGUAUCCAAAGAAACCAAAUAUAUGAACUCUCCGUAUAUUUGACUCAGUGUUGUAAAGGUUAGGUCUUCUGGUAACUCAUGCACCUGCGGUGAAACUCAAAAUGGGUUAGUCAGUGGGAAGAGAAGACCUACCCCCCAAGUCUCCCAGCUACAAAUUCAGCUUUUCUAUACAGCAGUCUAAAACCUAAGAAUUUCAACUAAAUGGAGACAUUAACAGCACGGCCAUCAUCAUAUCCCUAAUAUUUCACCCGUAAUGCCCACUCAGUAGUUUUUUCCAAUGCAGUUAAUGGGAAAACCUGAAUGGUAAGGUAGUGCAUAAAUAAAUUAUGAUUUUCACAAAUUACCUUUUUGGAU
rnacentral:lncRNA from 1 species